GGGAGUCUGGCCGAGUGGUUAAGGCGCUGUGUUUAGGUCUAGGCUGGGCUUCGAGUCCGCCCUAACCGUAAAUCCCGCAGUGGGAAACCGCGCAGGUUCGAAUCCUGCGGCUCUCA
rnacentral:tRNA from 1 species